UGGGGUGACUGCGUACCUUUUGUAUAAUGGGUCAGCGACUUAUAUUCUGUAGCAAGGUUAACCGAAUAGGGGAGCCGGAGGGAAACCGAGUCUUAACCGGGCGUUAAGUUGCAGGGUAUAGACCCGAAACCCGGUGAUCUAGCCAUGGGCAGGUUGAAGGUUGGGUAACACUAACUGGAGGACCGAACCGACUAAUGUUGAAAAAUUAGCGGAUGACCUGUGGCUGGGGGUGAAAGGCCAAUCAAACCGGGAGAUAGCUGGUUCUCCCCGAAAGCUAUUUAGGUAGCGCCUCGUGAAUUCAUCUCCGGGGGUAGAGCACUGUUUCGGCUAGGGGGCCAUCCCGGCUUACCAACCCGAUGCAAACUGCGAAUACCGGAGAAUGUUAUCACGGGAGACACACGGCGGGUGCUAACGUCCGUCGUGAAGAGGGAAACAACCCAGACCGCCAGCUAAGGUCCCAAAGUCAUGGUUAAGUGGGAAACGAUGUGGGAAGGCCCAGACAGCCAGGAUGUUGGCUUAGAAGCAGCCAUCAUUUAAAGAAAGCGUAAUAGCUCACUGGUCGAGUCGGCCUGCGCGGAAGAUGUAACGGGGCUAAACCAUGCACCGAAGCUGCGGCAGCGACACUCAGGUGUUGUUGGGUAGGGGAGCGUUCUGUAAGCCUGCGAAGGUGGCCUGUGAGGGUUGCUGGAGGUAUCAGAAGUGCGAAUGCUGACAUAAGUAACGAUAAAGCGGGUGAAAAGCCCGCUCGCCGGAAGACCAAGGGUUCCUGUCCAACGUUAAUCGGGGCAGGGUGAGUCGACCCCUAAGGCGAGGCCGAAAGGCGUAGUCGAUGGGAAACGGGUUAAUAUUCCCGUACUUGGUGUUACUGCGAAGGGGGGACGGAGAAGGCUAUGUUGGCCGGGCGACGGUUGUCCCGGUUUAAGCGUGUAGGUGUGUGUUCCAGGUAAAUCCGGUUCACUUUAACACUGAGGCGUGAUGACGAGGCACUACGGUGCUGAAGCAACAAAUGCCCUGCUUCCAGGAAAAGCCUCUAAGCAUCAGGUAACAUCAAAUCGUACCCCAAACCGACACAGGUGGUCAGGUAGAGAAUACCAAGGCGCUUGAGAGAACUCGGGUGAAGGAACUAGGCAAAAUGGUGCCGUAACUUCGGGAGAAGGCACGCUGACACGUAGGUGAAGUGAUUUACUCAUGGAGCUGAAGUCAGUCGAAGAUACCAGCUGGCUGCAACUGUUUAUUAAAAACACAGCACUGUGCAAACACGAAAGUGGACGUAUACGGUGUGACGCCUGCCCGGUGCCGGAAGGUUAAUUGAUGGGGUCAGCGCAAGCGAAGCUCCUGAUCGAAGCCCCGGUAAACGGCGGCCGUAACUAUAACGGUCCUAAGGUAGCGAAAUUCCUUGUCGGGUAAGUUCCGACCUGCACGAAUGGCGUAAUGAUGGCCAGGCUGUCUCCACCCGAGACUCAGUGAAAUUGAACUCGCUGUGAAGAUGCAGUGUACCCGCGGCAAGACGGAAAGACCCCGUGAACCUUUACUAUAGCUUGACACUGAACAUUGAGCCUUGAUGUGUAGGAUAGGUGGGAGGCUUUGAAGUGUGGACGCCAGUCUGCAUGGAGCCGACCUUGAAAUACCACCCUUUAAUGUUUGAUGUUCUAACGUGGACCCGUGAUCCGGGUUGCGGACAGUGUCUGGUGGGUAGUUUGACUGGGGCGGUCUCCUCCUAAAGAGUAACGGAGGAGCACGAAGGUUGGCUAAUCCUGGUCGGACAUCAGGAGGUUAGUGCAAUGGCAUAAGCCAGCUUGACUGCGAGCGUGACGGCGCGAGCAGGUGCGAAAGCAGGUCAUAGUGAUCCGGUGGUUCUGAAUGGAAGGGCCAUCGCUCAACGGAUAAAAGGUACUCCGGGGAUAACAGGCUGAUACCGCCCAAGAGUUCAUAUCGACGGCGGUGUUUGGCACCUCGAUGUCGGCUCAUCACAUCCUGGGGCUGAAGUAGGUCCCAAGGGUAUGGCUGUUCGCCAUUUAAAGUGGUACGCGAGCUGGGUUUAGAACGUCGUGAGACAGUUCGGUCCCUAUCUGCCGUGGGCGCUGGAGAACUGAGGGGGGCUGCUCCUAGUACGAGAGGACCGGAGUGGACGCAUCACUGGUGUUCGGGUUGUCAUGCCAAUGGCACUGCCCGGUAGCUAAAUGCGGAAGAGAUAAGUGCUGAAAGCAUCUAAGCACGAAACUUGCCCCGAGAUGAGUUCUCCCUGAGACUUAAAGUCUCCUGAAGGAACGUUGAAGACGACGACGUUGAUAGGCCGGGUGUGUAAGCGCAGCGAUGCGUUGAGCUAACCGGUACUAAUGAACCGUGAGGCUUAACCUUACA
rnacentral:rRNA from 1 species